AGAAUAUUGACUAUUUUUUUCCUUGCUUAAAUUUUACCUAAUCGAGUCUGCAUUAGUCAGCCAUGAUUUUCCCAGUGUUAUUUAUUAUCAGUGUUUUAUUUCAGGUGAUGUUGCUGUCGGAGAGGGAGUGAUGCGGUACUUUAUGACAACAGUAAUAUGCAAACUCCAGUUUGGGUUCAGUCUAGAUCUUGGUAAGUCCCUUAAAAUUUCGAAGGUUAAUUCAAUUUAAUUUAAAAAAUGUUUCAGAUGGUUAAUUGUUAUGCCUUUAUCACCCUUGGUACUUACAGGAGGAAUGGGCC